rnacentral:rRNA from 1 species
UUCGGUUUGGGUGGCGGACGGGUGAGUAACGCGUAAAGAACUUGCCUCACAGAUAGGGACAACAUUUGGAAACGAAUGCUAAUACCUGAUAUUAUGAUUUUAGGGCAUCCUAGGAUUAUGAAAGCUAUAUGCGCUGUGAGAGAGCUUUGCGUCCCAUUAGCUAGUUGGAGAGGUAACGGCUCACCAAGGCGAUGAUGGGUAGCCGGCCUGGGAGGGUGAUCGGCCACAAGGGGACUGAGACACGGCCCUUACUCCUACGGGAGGCAGCAGUGGGGAAUAUUGGACAAUGGACCAAGAGUCUGAUCCAGCAAUUCUGUGUGCACGAUGAAGUUUUUCGGAAUGUAAAGUGCUUUCAGUUGGGAAGAAAAAAAUGACGGUACCAACAGAAGAAGUGACGGCUAAAUACGUGCCAGCAGCCGCGGUAAUACGUAUGUCACAAGCGUUAUCCGGAUUUAUUGGGCGUAAAGCGCGUCUAGGUGGUUAUGUAAGUCUGAUGUGAAAAUGCAGGGCUCAACUCUGUAUUGCGUUGGAAACUGUGUAACUAGAGUACUGGAGAGGUAAGCGGAACUACAAGUGUAGAGGUGAAAUUCGUAGAUAUUUGUAGGAAUGCCGAUGGGGAAGCCAGCUUACUGGACAGAUACUGACGCUGAAGCGCGAAAGCGUGGGUAGCAAACAGGAUUAGAUACCCUGGUAGUCCACGCCGUAAACGAUGAUUACUAGGUGUUGGGGGUCGAACCUCAGCGCCCAA